AGGCAGCAGUGGCUGUUAAGCCAACUCAUCACUCACCUAGUCCCACCAGCCCUCAUGGCCCCUUCUUGUUGCAGCCUUUCAUUGCCAUUCCAGAAGCUGGCAGAUAGAGCCGUUGGAAGGGGAGGAAAGGGCGAGGAGAAGGGGGAAUACGUAUCACGUGCAGUAAGAGGGAUUUGGAGAGGCGGGGACCAGCAGGUGUAUUAUUUCCAAACUUGCCUUUUCAAGAUCUUGCAAAUUCCCUUGAAAAAUGACUUAACAGUUUGACAAAAACAACAGUGAAACAAAAGCCGCGUUGAUGAGGGACAGAGACAGAUUGAUACAACGCAAGGAGAGGCAGUGGACAAAUAACCACACUGGUUGCACGAGAUCAUGUUUUUAUUUCAUUUAUCUCAUUGCUGAUGUGAUUUUAGUAAUAGGAUUAUACUUGUCAGCACUCCCUGUUUGAGAAAACACCAACAUAUUUUUAAUGCUAGUUCCCACAUCUCCAUGUCAUUGUCUGUAAUCUCACUAGAGUUUCUCUUGCUGCCCCCACUUCCCCUUUUCCUUAAUGUUCAAAGAAAAAGAGAUUUUAGGUGGCGGGGCUGUGAGGAGAAUUUGUUGGCACAGAGUCCUUUUUUGUUUCUUUCUUCAUAAAUGCAAUUCUGCUAUCUGUAUGAAAAUGA